AGCAACGUCAUGAUUAACGCGUAAAAGGAAAUUUUAUUUCCUAUGCCAAAUAUUAUAAUCUCUCCCGUUCUUUCCAGUUUUACUAACAUGGCUAACGCUCAGAGGCUCUCAAAUGAGCCUCUAUGGAUUGCAUUUACCAUCGUAUCCAUGUUCUUAAUAUGCUACAUGGCGAGCAUAAGUAGCGUUAUGUAUUUUAUCAGUAUGCCCUGCAAUAGAUCGUUCUAUAGGGAUCAAGGACAGAUGUACCUACAGUCCAAUACCAUAGGGAAAAUUUGCGUGGAUCCAUUUGAAAACUUCAAAGGAUUGACUGAAGUGAAUGGGAAAAAAUACUACAUCCACACCAGAGAGCAAACGUCCUGGCAUGUGGCAAAGGAAUUUUGCGAAGACUUUGGGAUGACGUUAGCCUCGUUGAAAACGGAAAAAGAGAUGAUCGACCUGUUUCAUGCAACGCACAAUGUCUCUGAAUUUUAUUCAUGGUGGGUGUCUGCCAAGUAUGAUGGAGCCGUUUUCAAAUGGGAGGAUGGAACUGUCUUAGGAUUGGACAGUAAAAUUUGGGGAAAAAAUUAUUCGCAACCUAAUACCUACCUUAAGAACAAAAACGUUUGCACUGAUUUUCAUUCUGGAACCUACUCUGGUUUGCAUGACAGUCCUUGCUCAGCGAAUUACAGAUUCAUAUGUGAGACAAAUUUGAACUACCUGCGUGCUUGCAGUAUAAAUAAAACAACAUGAAAUGUUUUAUAUAUUAAUAUGUUCUAAUGUAUAUUUUUCCUGCUGGACAACUGUUCUUCAAGCCUGCUUAUGGAACUCAUUUUAGGAUGUAAUAAUUCUUUUUUACUUUCAAAAUGGAAGUUGGUUUGUUUUUUAUUUGUUUUUAUCUACAAAUUAAAUUGCUUUAUGUGUUUGCAUAUUGUAUUUUAUGACCAUGACAAAAUUAAAAGUAUGGAAACAUCGCUAAAUUGCUCUGCUGAUCCUCAGUAAAAUUACUUUUGAAUCUAUAUUAAUUUUAAAUGCUUUAUUUUGCCGCAUAUAAUUAAUAUUUGUCUGUGUAUUAAUUAAGUUAUUAACAAAGUGACAAAUUAAAGAGUAUUUUAACCGAGA